UAAGCCAGACCUCAGCAAUGCAAAAUGGAGGCCCCAGCCUGGACCCGCCGAUGCAUCCGCGUAUGCAGGCGCUGCCCACGCGUGUGGAAGGGUAUUCGUUCCCCCUCACCUCCCUUGCGUCAUUUGCCCCUCUCUCCGUUCCUUUCUUCGUUGCAUCUUCCCUCACCUUGCUACGCCCGAGUAGAUCCAGUGCUCCAUGGCUGCCGGUGUUCCCCAGAUCUGUGCAAGGCAGAAAGGCAUUGACUGCGGAUAGUCUGUGGUGCGGCUGUUGACCUUGGCUGCUGGCAAUCUAUCCUUGCCGAAAUCGCCAGCGGCGGGUACGGGGUACCUCGGCGGCGGGCAGCGUCUGCAAUCCCAACGGGUUGGGCGGCCAUCAUCCUCGGAGAAUCCGUGCUCGAGAGGAAACCUUCAAUGGCGGAGAAGGGUCGCAGCUGCUGUGACAGAGCCAAUUGCUGAGGAUCUUGCGAUUGGGCAGGCGUUCAUCUGACAGUGGCAGGUGUCUUGAGUCUUGACUGAUGGUGGAGUUCAAUCUUGGAAGGAUUCGGCAGCUCACAUUUUAUGUCAUUUUUUUCUUAUUCUUUUUCUUAUUUAACAUUUUCUUGUUAUAAAGAUGUGAUCACUAGUUUUUUGCGCAUAGUUUACAAUAAAUUGUAAUUGUCAAAUGAGUGCAAAUUGAUCACUGAUGCUAGGGUUGUUCGCUGCGGUAA